UCUCUAGCUUAUAUAGGCAUCCCUCUAAAAAAUCAGUCUUCAAUGACAUGCAGAUCUAUGGCUAUUUAUAGCUAUUUAUACAAGCAUACAUACGGAUUUUGUGUAUCUAUAUAUAGAUAUAUAAAGAAUUUCUUUUAAUUACGGCGGUUUUCCGAUUCGCUUGGUGCAGGUCGGGACUGAAUAAUGCUUUAAUAGCGUUUUAGUCCUGCCUUGCAUCAACUGAAUUUGAAUCCACUGUAAAUAUAAUUAUCAUCCAGCAGGCUAUCGGAGAUCUUCGUUGAUUUGGAUUCUGAGUAUACAUACAAAGUGAUGGAGGACAACACAUACAACAUAACGAUGGAAGCCAAGGGUUCAAAUCAAAUCUCAUCCCAUGCCUCUCUUUUAACAACGAUGAUACAUAACUCAUCUUAGCUGUGAGUCUGAUCAGUGGGGGCCGAUAAUGUGAUCAUUAUACAUUAACUUCUUACUUGUGGCAUGAUAUGUAAGACAUAGGCAAUGCCACUCUCAAACUGUACCAAGAAUGCCCACAUGCAGAAGUUUUUAAAUAUGAUAUUGGAAUAUAAACUGCGUGUACUAUUCACAUUCUUUGAACUUUGAAGCAAUGCUAAAUAUUUGGAUUGGAUUUGGAUAUAACAUAAUCACCAACCGUCUGUGCAUUAUCGUGAUAUCCUUGAUUCCGUUAGGAACAUUUCUUAGAUUGCUUCGCUGUAUGUCUUAGCGUAUUAGGGGAUUAAUCUGAUCAUCUGUAUUAUUGAC